CUAGAUAAAAUAAGUAAAAAUAAUGUCAAAUUACAUAUUGGUGCCCUAAUUAUCUCUCUUCUCCAGCGUCUCUGUAUUCUCCGCCUCCAUCUCUCCCAAGUCUAUCUCCCUGCGCCACCAUACAUCAAUCGACGCUACACCUGCUGGCGCCGCCUCCAUAUCUCUUCCUGUCACCGAUUCCCCAACUGAAACGCCGAUGCAUUCGUCAUUCUGUGAGUUUGCGCGGUCGAAGGCUUCGACUGCUCUGCCCUUCGUCCUCCGCUCACCGACGAUUUACAGUCACCGAUUCCCCAUCACCGACGUUUGUUGCUGCUUUCUAAACUCCGUCUGCCGUGAGGCUGUGAGUUUCUCGGGUUGUGCCCUCAUUAAAGGCUUCACCCCUCUCUGCCUGAAUCCGCCAGAUGAAAUCCGCCGGAUGAAAUCACGGUGGUUUUGUACACUCGACGAUUGGCCUAGAAAUCAUGAAUAUUUUGUUCAGUUUCUAUCAGUCAAUUGCAUUGGGGAUGAGCAGAAUAAUUGGAAUCGCUUGAGAAUUUCUUUGGAAUGUUGAAAAAUUAUCAACAAGAGCUAUAAGAAAUGAAGAACAUGAGUAGACAUGAAUAUGUUGCUCAUCUCAGAAGGAAUAGCAUAUUGGUAGUAUGUAGUGUAUCCUUGAACCAUUUGCUUGUGUGGGAGAUGGAGGAAGUUUUACAGAAUUGGCCUCUGGGAUACUGCAGGAUAAGAAGAUUACAACAGGCUGCGCCCUCUAAGUUAUGGAGGAGCUGAUGUGUUUUUACUGGCAUUUUCUCUCAUCAGCAAAGCUAGAUAUGAGAGCAUUUACAAGAAGGUUAGAUAUUUUUUCUUGAUUCUAUCAUUAUUUAUUUCUUAUAUUUUCCACUCUAAUGAUUUUCUUUUGGUCACCAAUAGAUUCCACUAUUCUCCAAAUGUAACGGUACCAUUUCUCAUGAUUUACUUUUUUAUAUUAAUUAUUGUAUUAUGUAUAUUUAUUAAAACUUUACAUAUACUUGUUUAGUUUUAGAUGCACUGUACAAGGUUUGAGAUUCGUGUUUUUGAUUUUAUUGGAGAAGCAAUUAUGCAAUGUUGUGAUCACGGAUUCCAAUUGAUUUUGUUUCUACUUCAGGAAACAGAUAUUGGGAUAUCUAUUAAUGUCCUGUUGAAGCAUUGAUCCAAGGAAAUCUAGCAUCUUGUUUGGCGACUAGUUGAGUAGGAUAUAUAUGAUCAAUGGUAGCUUGGAAGCAAGAGGAAAAAGGUCUAUUUAGUUGUUGAAAAGUUGAGGCUUGAAGAAUAUUGUAUUUUUUUAAUUUGAUUUCAAACUUGUUAUUAGAUUUUGAAAAAUUGUUAGAUUGAUAGUUGAGAUUUGGUUGCAAGACAUUUUAGGUGGUUGUAAUGAAUGUUGAUGAUAAUUGAUGGUGUAAUUUCAUAAUUAUUGUUUAUUAUUA